UACGGGGGGAGCAAGCGUUGUUCGGAUUUACUGGGCGUAAAGGGCGCGUAGGCGGUCGUGACAAGUCACUUGUGAAAUCUCCGGGCUUAACUCGGAACGGUCAAGUGAUACUGUCGGACUAGAGUACAGAAGGGGCAACUGGAAUUCUCGGUGUAGCGGUGAAAUACGUAGAUAUCGAGAGGAACACCUGCGGCGAAGGCGGGUUGCUGGGCUGAUACUGACGCUGAGGCGCGAAAGCCAGGGGAGCGAACGGG
rnacentral:rRNA from 1 species